UACGGGGGGGGCAAGCGUUGUUCGGAAUUACUGGGCGUAAAGGGCUCGUAGGCGGCCAACUAAGUCGGAUGUGAAAUCCCCAGGCUUAACCUGGGAACUGCAUCCGAUACUGGAUGGCUUGAAUCCGGGAGAGGGAUGCAGAAUUCCAGGUGUAGCGGUGAAAUGCGCAGAUAUCAGGAGGAACACCGGUGGCGAAGGCGGGUCUCUGGGCCGAUGACUGACGCUGAGGAGCGAAAGCGUGGGGAGCGAACAGG
rnacentral:rRNA from 1 species